rfam:Lactobacillus buchneri CD034, complete genome.
UAAAGUAGUCUGGGGUGCCCUAAACGGCUGAGAUAAAUACCCAUUGAACCUGAUGCAGUUAGGACUGUCGAAGGAAGAACGAAACUUUUUUGU